GUGGGGAAUAUUGGGCAAUGGGGGCAACCCUGACCCAGCAACGCCGCGUGAGGGAAGAAGGUUUUCGGAUUGUAAACCUCUGUCCUAUGGGAAGAAGGAAGUGACGGUACCAUAGGAGGAAGCCCCGGCUAACUACGUGCCAGCAGCCGCGGUAAUACGUAGGGGGCGAGCGUUGUCCGGAAUUACUGGGCGUAAAGGGUGCGCAGGUGGCCUGACAAGUCAGAUGUGAAAUACCGAUGCUUAACGUCGGGGCUGCAUUUGAAACUAUGAGGCUGGAGUGCAGGAGAUGGAAGCGGAAUUCCUAGUGUAGCGGUGAAAUGCAUAGAUAUUAGGAGGAACGCCAGUGGCGAAGGCGGCUUUCUGGACUGUAACUGACACUGAGGCACGAAAGCGUGGGGAGCAAACAGGAUUAGAAACCCGUGUAGUCC
rnacentral:rRNA from 1 species